rfam:Hortaea werneckii EXF-2000 unitig_162, whole genome shotgun sequence.
UGCUCUGAUGAUAUUGUGACAAACGGCAUUCCUCGAACCGAAACGCCAUGUCGAAUUUUGUCAAAAAAUAAGUUUCAGCCUUGUCUGAUU